UAUAGAAAGACUCCUAAAUCAACGCCUCUUAACCCGUGGCAAGCAAUACAAGGCCACAGCAUCUCAAAACUCCCUUAUCUACGUAGACAUCCCUGAAGGCUAGGCUCAGAGGGAAACAGCGCGGGCUCAGCGACGUGCCCCGUGACGCAAGACCCCCAGCGGCUAGCCCAGAGCGGCGCGCGGCGGGCAAGCGGAAGGAAGUGUCGCGUUGCGUGAUAGUGUUGCGUGUUCCUAUUGCGUCAUCAGGAGUCUGGAUUCGGCCCUGCGGUCUCUACGAUGACGUCGGUGUGUACCCGUGACCUCUUCAGACCGACGUUAGACGGCAGGCGAUCACAGUCAUUGGCGGGGCCGGGGCCAGUGGACUGCGUUGUGAGGGACAGGACGCGCCGCCCCUCACAAGGCAGCUCCUGAGGGAUGGAGGUCGCUUGAAGGUAGGGAAAGAAUACAUUGUUGUGACAGAAUCAGCUACGUUUUGUGAUCUCAGUUGAUGUAGAUGUGUAAGAAUGCUCUACUCCGCCAUUCUCGUAUUGGAAAGUAAAAGAAUGGAAAGAGGGGUGAAAGGAAGAAAGACAGAGGGAAGGGAGGGAAUGGAGUUAAGGAG